GAAAGAAGAGCUGAAAUGGCACCAAGUUCUGCCAAAAGCAGAGUGGCUUUGCCCACUUCUCCACGUGGCACAGCUGAAUUUGUGAAGAAGGAACGGUGGCUGAGUUGCACGCGUGAACCAGGACAACGCAAAAUAAAGUCAAAGAGGAAUGCUCAUUUUCCUAUUUUAUUCUGAGGACAAACCUGUCAGUAAUGAAUUGUUCCAGAAGUACACAAAGAAAAC
rnacentral:lncRNA from 1 species